GAUGAACGCUGGCGGCGUGCCUAAUACAUGCAAGUCGAGCGAACGGACGAGAAGCUUGCUUUUCUGAUGUUAUCCGCGGACGGGUGAGUCACACGUGGAUAACCUCUCUAUAAGACUUGGAUAAAUUCUGGACACCGGAGCUAAUACCCUAUACUAUUUUGUACCGCAUUGUUCAAAAGUGAAAGACGAUCUUUCUAUCACUUAUAUAUCGAUCCGCGCUGCAUUGUCUAGUUGGUAAGGUAACUGCUUAACAGAGCAACGAUCCAUACCCCUCGUGAGAGGGUGAUCGGCCACACUGGAACUGAGACGCGGUCCAGACUCCUGAGGGAGGCGGCAGUAGGAAAUGGGCGGCAAUGGGGGAAAGCAGGCCGGAGCAAGGCCGGGUGGGUGAUGAAGAUCUUCGGAUCGUAAAACUCUGUUAUUGGGGAAGAACAUAUGUGUAAGUAAAUGUGCACAUAUUGACGGUACCUAAUCAGAAAGCCACGGCUAACUACGUG
rnacentral:rRNA from 1 species